UCGACGAUGAAUCUUCUAGCUUGCUAGAAGUGGAUUAGUGGCGCACGGGUGUAGUAAUGCAUAGGUUAUGUGCCCUUUAGUCUGGGAUAGCCACUGGAAACGGUGAUUAAUACUGGAUACUCCCUACGGGGGAAAGUUUUUCGCUAAAGGAUCAGCCUAUGUCCUAUCAGCUUGUUGGUGAGGUAAUGGCUCACCAAGGCUAUGACGGGUAUCCGGCCUGAGAGGGUGAUCGGACACACUGGAACUGAGACACGGUCCAGACUCCUACGGGAGGCAGCAGUAGGGAAUAUUGCUCAAUGGGGGAAACCCUGAAGCAGCAACGCCGCGUGGAGGAUGAAGGUUUUAGGAUUGUAAACUCCUUUUGUUAGAGAAGAUUAUGACGGUAUCUAACGAAUAAGCACCGGCUAACUCCGUGCCAGCAGCCGCGGUAAUACGGAGGGUGCAAGCGUUACUCGGAAUCACUGGGCGUAAAGAGUGCGUAGGCGGGGUAAUAAGUCAGAUGUGAAAUCCUGUAGCUUAACUACAGAACUGCAUUUGAAACUGUUACUCUGGAGUGUGGGAGAGGUAGGUGGAAUUCUUGGUGUAGGGGUAAAAUCCGUAGAGAUCAAGAGGAAUACUCAUUGCGAAGGCGACCUGCUGGAACAUUACUGACGCUGAUGCACGAAAGCGUGGGGAGCAAACAGGAUUAGAUACCCUGGUAGUCCACGCCCUAAACGAUGGAUGCUAGUUGUUGCCUUGCUUGUCAGGGCAGUAAUGCAGCUAACGCAUUAAGCAUCCCGCCUGGGGAGUACGGUCGCAAGAUUAAAACUCA
rnacentral:rRNA from 1 species